UAUGGGUCAUGUAAAUACAACAUUGUUAUGGCAAUUACUCACUGACGACACACAGAGGAGAUUCUGUUACCUAUAAACAGCUAGUAAAUAUGGGCAUGACAUUUUAAACAGUUUUCUGCUUUAACAAGACAAGAGGAUGAUACUUCCCAUCUCUUUAGCUGAUUGUCCCUCCCCACCCACAGCCUCUUUCCCUUCAACACUUUCUGCCUAAAUCUCCAAAUAAUCACCCCACUCACUCACACCAGGCCAGUGGCUGGCAGGCUCCUUGGCCAAGUUUACUAUCUGGUUCCAAAGGGGAAGGAAAAAUGCAUUUGUUCUUUCAGAAUGAGAGCUCCCAGAACAUCAGGGGUGGAGGGCUUGGUCAUCUGAGGGUGUUUCUAUAAUCUGGAAUCCUAAAUUUAGCAAGGGACAUAGCCCAGGCUAAGAGAAUGUCUUCCUUCCUAUGAACUUCCUACCCAUCAGCAGAAGUGGAAGCUGGAAAAGCUCACAGAGGUCACUCUUUCCCCCCAGGUUUUCAGUUACUUGGAACACUCCACUUUAGGGAUUUCCAAAGUCACUGGGCUCAUUGGAAUAUUCUCUUUUUAUUGACAUGAAACGUGUUUGCUGAGUCUGGCUGGCCAAGUGAUUCCACAGGGUGAAAAAGAAAAGGCAUUGAAAUAUUCAUCAGGAGAGCUACCCAGUUCCACCGCCAGUUUCCUAGGCAAUGGCAGAGGAAAUGAAAGAUGAGUUUGACAACAUCAGGCUGCUUGGCUCAGAGAAAAUACAAGAUUGCUACAUUCCACAAGUUACUGAAUUUGGGGGAGCGCUGCAUUUGUCCUCUUGAAAUGAUCUGACUCAGCUUCUCUGAAUUUUGUUUUUUUAAAGAACAUAUUAUUCAUCAUUUUGUUCUUAUCUCUGUAGUACAAGGAUAUGGGAUUUGAAAUCACACCGAAGUGCAUUUGAAGCUCACUUGCGUGGUCUUGGAUAAGUUACUUAAACCUCCCUACCUUCAGUUUCCUUAUCUGGAAAACAGAAUACCAUGUUGACCUUGCAGGAUUGUUUAACAGAUUCUCCCUCUAGUUCAAGCUGCUCUCAUGGUGUUCUGUCUCUUACUUGUCCCCCAGUAUGCGUUCUUUCACUAGUAAAGCGUAAAUUCCACCAGGGCAGGUACCGUGUCUCUUUUCCUCACCAUGUGUACCCCCAGAACCGCAUGUACUGGUGUGCCUGUUGCAUAAGCAGGAGCACAAUAAAUGUCUGUUG